rnacentral:rRNA from 1 species
ACGGUUACCUUGUUACGACUUAGCCCCAGUCACCGAUUUCGCUCUAGGGCGCGCCUCGCGGCGACGCACUUCAAGCGCCCUCGGCUCCCAUGGCUUGACGGGCGGUGUGUACAAGGCCCGGGAACGUAUUCACCGCGCCAUGGCUGAUGCGCGAUUACUAGCGAAUCCAGCUUCACGGAGUCGGGUUGCAGACUCCGAUCCGAACUGAGAGUGGAUUUCGGGUUCCGCUCGGCGUCGCCGCCUGGCUUCCCGCUGUACCACCCAUUGUAACACGUGUGUCGCCCCGGACGUAAGGGCCGUGCUGAUUUGACGUCAUCCCCGCCUUCCUCGCGGCUUGCGCCGGCAGUCCGUGCAGAGUCCUCAGCGUUAUCUGUUAGCAACUGCACGCGGGGGUUGCGCUCGUUAUGGCACUUAAGCCGACACCUCACGGCACGAGCUGACGACAACCAUGCAGCACCUCGGGGAGUGUCCCGUGGGAAAC